GGCGCAGCCUGAUCCAGCCAUGCCGCGUGAGUGAAGAAGGCCCUCGGGUUGUAAAGCUCUUUUGUCCGGAAAGAAAAGCAUUCGGUUAAUACCCGGGUGUUCUGACGGUACCGGAAGAAUAAGCACCGGCUAACUUCGUGCCAGCAGCCGCGGUAAUACG
rnacentral:rRNA from 1 species